GGAGAAAUGGCAGAGCGGCUUAAUGCGACGGUCUUGAAAAUCGUUGAUGACGCAAGUCAUCCGGGGGUUCGAAUCCCUCUUUCUCCGCCA
rnacentral:tRNA from 1 species